rnacentral:rRNA from 1 species
GUUUGAUCCUGGCUCAGAAAGAACGUUGGCGGCGUGGAUUACGCAUGCAAGUCGGGGGAAUCUCCCGCAAGGGAGGGAACCGGCAUAAGGGGCAGUAAGGCAUGGGAACCUACCCGGGGGUUCGGGAUAGCCACCAGAAAUGGUGGGUAAUACCGGAUGACCUCGUGAGAGCGAACAUUCAUCGCCCCCGGAGGGGCCCAUGUGAUAUUAGCUAGUUGGGGGGAUAACGGCUCACCAAGGCGAAGAUGUCUAGCGGGCGUGAGAGCACGACCCGCGCCACUCGCACUGAGACACUGGCGAGACACCUACGGGUGGCUGCAGUCCAGGAUCUUCGGCAAUGGGCGAAAGCCUGACCGAACGAUGCCGCGUGCGCGAUGAACGCCUUCGGGUUGUAAAGCGCGAAAGUGGGGAGAAAAGCCCGCAAGGGUGUGAUCUAUCCACAGUAAGCUCGGGCUAAGUUCGUGCCAGCAGCCGCGGUAAGACGAACCGAGCGAACGUUGUUCGGAAUCACUGGGCUUAAAGGGCGCGUAGGCGGGCUGUCAAGUCUGGGGUGAAAUCCCGCGGCUCAACCGUGGAACUGCCUCAGAUACUGACGGCCUCGAGGGAGGUAGGGGCGAGCGGAACUGUGAGUGGAGCGGAGAAAUGCGUUGAUAUUCACAGGAACUCCGGUGGAGAAGGCGGCUCGCUGGACCUUUUCUGACGCUGAGGCGCGAAAGCUAGGGGAGCACACGGGAUUAGAUACCCCGGUAGUCCUAGCCCUAAACGUUGGGUACUAGGUAGUAGACUAGACAUGGGUUUACUGCCGAAGCAAAAGUGCUAAGUACCCCGCCUGGGGAGUAUGGUCGCAAGGCUGAAACUCAAAGGAAUUGA